GAGGACCAUGUGUUUGGCUCAGCUGAGACAGCCGUUCGUUCCUGCUUCAGUGGGGUGCUGAGUGCGUGUGUUUGUGAGGAGCAUGUCCUCUCAUGGCUGCAGUGUGAGCCCUGUCUGUUGCUGUGGCUCCCCACCCUGUACCGCCUGUCAAUCAGCGAGAACAUCACACACUCCCUACGCUUCCACACCUGCAAGGCCUACCCCAUCACUGGACUUAGGUAUCGCUGUAUGAAGUGUGUGAACCUUCAUCUGUGCCAAACCUGCUUCCUGACAGAGAGACACACAAGAAAACACAAGAGUUCCCACCCAGUGCUGGAGCACUGCACUGAGGCUCUUAGCAUGUCAGGGACACAUGCUGACGUCAUGCCUCAUGCUAAUGUCAUCCCACAUGCUAAAUACAGGCCAGAGAGAGACAUAGCUUGUCCUGUAGAGUCUCAGAGCUCUGCAUCUUCCUCUCGAUCCAGAGAAAGAGAGGAGGAGGAGGAGAGGGAAGAGGAGGAGAGGGAAGAGAAGGCGAGGGUAGAGGAGGAAGAAUGUUACACAGCAAAGAUGCAGAGGAAUGAGAUGAAGACAGAAGAUCAGAGAGGUGAUGAUGAUGAUGAAGAGGAGGAGCAGACUGACUCAGUCACAGAGACUCACACUCCCACAAUGCACGAGAGAAUUACCUCUAACCCACAGCCCUGUGAUGGGCAGGUCACUGGGCUAAUGAAAGACCAGUGUCUCUGAAGAGGAGUAUUCUGGGAUGUGUAGUUUAGUGGAGGAGCGACUGUGUGAGUUGGUGCAACGACUAAUAAGUGAGCUGUCGCUACACACUCACACACAUACAGACUGCAGACGGGAGUUGGAGUUGUUGGAGGCUGCAGAGGAAGUGGGGGACUCAGUGUGUCAUCUCGUCUAUGCAGUGAACACACACUCCGUCCCAAACGCACACACUUCAUGCCCCAUCCUCCUACACAACCACAGGCCAGAGUAUGAAUCCAGAAGGCUUCUCUAGACUUUGACGCCCGAUGACGUGAGUUAUUGUGUAAAAUCCAUACUUUCCUGUGUAAUACAUAUGAAACUUAUAUUUGUAUGAAGUACAGUUGUACUGAAAUGAUUAUGCUCUUUCAUUAGAGAAACCUAUGACAAA
rnacentral:lncRNA from 1 species